GAUGAACGCUGGCGGCGUGCUUAACACAUGCAAGUCGAGCGAAGCGUUUCUGCGGAAUUUUUCGGAAGGAAGCGGGAAUGACUUAGCGGCGGACGGGUGAGUAACGCGUGGGCAACCUGCCUCGUACAGGGGGAUAACAGUUAGAAAUGACUGCUAAAACCGCAUAAGCGCACAGCAGCGCAUGCUGCAGUGUGAAAAACUCCGGCGGUACGGGAUGGGCCCGCGUCUGAUUAGCUUGUUGGCGGGGUAACGGCCCACCAAGGCAGCGAUCAGUAGCCGAUCUGAGAGGAUGGCCGGCCACAUUGGGACUGAGACACGGCCCAA
rnacentral:rRNA from 1 species